rnacentral:rRNA from 1 species
GAUGAACGCUGGCGGCGUGCCUAAUACAUGCAAGUCGAGCGAACAGACGAGGAGCUUGCUCCUCUGACGUUAGCGGCGGACGGGUGAGUAACACGUGGAUAACCUACCUAUAAGACUGGGAUAACUUCGGGAAACCGGAGCUAAUACCGGAUAAUAUAUUGAACCGCAUGGUUCAAUAGUGAAAGACGGUUUUGCUGUCACUUAUAGAUGGAUCCGCGCCGCAUUAGCUAGUUGGUAAGGUAACGGCUUACCAAGGCAACGAUGCGUAGCCGACCUGAGAGGGAGAUCGGCCACACUGGAACUGAGACACGGUCCAGACUCCUACGGGAGGCAGCAGUAGGGAAUCUUCCGCAAUGGACGAAAGCCUGACGGAGCAACGCCGCGGGAGUGAUGAAGGUCUUCGGAUCGUAAAACUCUGUUGUUAGGGAAGAACAAAUGUGUAAGUAACUAUGCACGUAUUGACGGUACCUGAUCAGAAAGCCACGGCUAACUACGUG